rnacentral:rRNA from 1 species
AUGGCUGGGACAAGUCAUAAGUCAAAACAGGAUGGACCUGCUGGAUCAAGCCAUGACGACCUUGCAUCUCAUGGGUAUGAAGAGCAUCAAACACAACCACAGAGCAAUGCACCAAUAACUGGGUACAAGUGUAUGAGAACUAAAGCAGCUGCUGCAAGGGGGAAGCGCCCUAAUGAUAUCAUUAGUAACGAGAAUAGCAACGAGAGCCAAGCUGCAGAUGCUGGGAAUAAAAAUAUCGAAUGUGCAGACGUCGACCAACCUCCAAAAGCAAAACGCCAGAAGACGGGAGGAACUAAGGGUCGUAGGAACAGGGCAUCCCCUGCAAGGCUCUUCAAGUUGAACAAGGACUUGGUUCCUGACCAAAAGGGUGUCAUCAUCGGAAAAGAAUUUGGCGGCAUUCUGGACCUUGCAGCGAGUAGCAUGCCCGGAGAUUUUAGCCAGUGGAUAAUGAAGCAUUACGACCCGGAGAUUUCGCAGAUAGUCAUUCCAGAAAGGGGGAAGAUUCCUGUAGAUGUCGCAAGUGUCCGUAGGAUAUGGGGUUUGCCCAACAGGGGCAGGAAGCUGUUGUACCUAGACUCUCUGGAUGUUGAUGAGCCAAUCCCGAACUUGGUACCAAGGGUUUCAGUCUGGAAUUUAGAUUUAAUCUUCAGAGUUAUCAAGAAGGACAGGAAGGCUCCAGGAGAAUAUGGCCAAUUGCGGGACAAAUGGUUGAUCACCAUGGGGGGGGGGGGUAAGUGCUGA